CUUGUUGCCAGGAUGAUUUGGAGCUUGAGUGUGUGUGUGGAGAGGGAGGGAGAGGUUUUUUUUGUGUGUAGUCUUGAUUUUUAAUGGAAAAGAUGUAAUCAUUUUCGAGGCUAGUUGAACAGAACCGGUAGGGUAAAGAGAAAGGAGAGAGAAAUAUGACUGAAAUGGGGGUAUGGGUCUGGGAGCAGGUAGAAGGGCAGCCAUGAGUAGAAGAAAGGGCACCUUUGAGAAAAGAGAAAAAUAAUUGGGAAGAUUCAGAGUCAGGCAAGUUUGUAGAAGAUAAAGUUGAGGUAUUUCUCCCACAGAUACGAAAAUACUGAGAGAGGUUGAAUGACUCUCCUUGAAGAUACUCUUCUGAGCUACCAAUAUAUUCUCCUUCCAUCAUGUGAAACUGCCAUCUUAAACAUGGGCUUGCAAAGUACUGUGGAUGAAGAGAGCAGGGAAGAGUUAUGUCCAGACCCACAUGGAGGGUACAUUGCUUUGCUUAGGCCAGAACCCAGUCACAUGGCCCUGACCUCAUCUCAAGGGAGGCUGGGAAAUGCAGAGUUUCUGUGUAUGCACGAAAAGGAAAUGAGGUUAACUACAGUCUCUGCUGCGUGUGGUCCUGCAGGCUCAUUUUUACAAGUUGCUGAUGAAACUGAAAUUCUGGAAACAGGCCAAAUUUGGAUAUUGAUUCCCGUUCCUCUUCUCUCUGUCAUCACUGGAACAUCAACAACGAAUUGUUCAUCAAGCCUGUUUUUCUUGAAAGUAAUUUCUGAAGAUCAUUAG
rnacentral:lncRNA from 13 species